UAACGCGUGAGGAACCUGCCUCAAAGAGGGGGACAACANUUGGAAACGACUGCUAAUACCGCAUAAGCCCACGGCUCGGCAUCGAGCAGAGGGAAAAGGAGCAAUCCGCUUUGAGAUGGCCUCGCGUCCGAUUAGCUGGUUGGUGAGGUAACGGCCCACCAAGGCGACGAUCGGUAGCCGGACUGAGAGGUUGAACGGCCACAUUGGGACUGAGACACGGCCCAGACUCCUACGGGAGGCAGCAGUGGGGAAUAUUGCACAAUGGGGGAAACCCUGAUGCAGCGACGCCGCGUGGAGGAAGAAGGUCUUCGGAUUGUAAACUCCUGUUGUUGAGGAAGAUAAUGANGGUACUCAACAAGGAAGUGACGGCUAACUACGUGCCAGCAGCCGCGGUAGAACGUAGGUCACAAGCGUUGUCCGGAAUUACUGGGUGUAAAGGGAGCGCAGGCGGGAAGACAAGUUGGAAGUGAAAUCUAUGGGCUCAACCCAUAAACUGCUUUCAAAACUGUUUUUCUUGAGUAGUGCAGAGGUAGGCGGAAUUCCCGGUGUAGCGGUGGAAUGCGUAGAUAUCGGGAGGAACACCAGUGGCGAAGGCGGCCUACUGGGCACCAACUGACGCUGAGGCUCGAAAGUGUGGGUAGCAAACAGGAUUAGAUACCCUGGUAGUCCACACCGUAAACGAUGAUUACUAGGUGU
rnacentral:rRNA from 1 species